AAUCAGAAACAAUUGAACCUCUAACCUCAAUUUUGAAUUGAAGAUCAGUUGAUGAAGUCAUGAGGAACCAAUUCGUUUGUAACCUUCAAUUAUC